rnacentral:rRNA from 1 species
UCCUACGGGAGGCAGCAGUGGGGAAUUUUGGACAAUGGGCGAAAGCCUGAUCCAGCCAUGCCGCGUGCAGGAUGAAGGCCUUCGGGUUGUAAACUGCUUUUGUACGGAACGAAAAGCCUCUUUCUAAUAAAGAGGGGUCAUGACGGUACCGUAAGAAUAAGCACCGGCUAACUACGUGCCAGCAGCCGCGGUAAUACGUAGGGUGCAAGCGUUAAUCGGAAUUACUGGGCGUAAAGCGUGCGCAGGCGGUUUUGUAAGACAGAGGUGAAAUCCCCGGGCUCAACCUGGGAACUGCCUUUGCGACUGCAAGGCUGGAGUGCGGCAGAGGGGGAUGGAAUUCCGCGUGUAGCAGUGAAAUGCGUAGAUAUGCGGAGGAACACCGAUGGCGAAGGCAAUCCCCUGGGCCUGCACUGACGCUCAUGCACGAAAGCGUGGGGAGCAAACAGGAUUAGAUACCCUGGUAGUCC